rnacentral:rRNA from 1 species
CCUACGGGAGGCAGCAGUAAGGAAUAUUGGACAAUGGGCGCAAGCCUGAUCCAGCCAUGCCGCGUGAAGGAUUAAGGUCCUCUGGAUUGUAAACUUCUUUUAUAGGGGACGAAAAAAGGGCAUUCUUGCUCACUUGACGGUACCCUAUGAAUAAGCACCGGCUAACUCCGUGCCAGCAGCCGCGGUAAUACGGAGGGUGCAAGCGUUAUCCGGAUUCACUGGGUUUAAAGGGUGCGUAGGCGGGCAGUUAAGUCAGUGGUGAAAUCUCCGAGCUCAACUCGGAAACUGCCAUUGAUACUAUCUGUCUUGAAUAUUGUGGAGGUAAGCGGAAUAUGUCAUGUAGCGGUGAAAUGCUUAGAUAUGACAUAGAACACCUAUUGCGAAGGCAGCUUACUACGCAUAUAUUGACGCUGAGGCACGAAAGCGUGGGGAUCAAACAGGAUUAGAUACCCUGGUAGUCCACGCCCUAAACGAUGGAUACUCGACAUACGACGAUACACUGUGUGUGUNUGAGNGAAGACAUUAAGUAUCCACCCGUCGGAGUACGUCCGCGAGAGAGAACGUACGAAAGAAGUAGACGGCGNGAGACGNGCGACGGACGACGACGAGGGAGGUUAGG